GUGAGGAAUUUUCCGCAAUGGGCGAAAGCCUGACGGAGCAAUGCCGCGUGAAGGAUGAAGGCCUAUGGGUUGUAAACUUCUUUUCUCAGAAAAGAAUUAUGACGGUAUCUGAGGAAUAAGCAUCGGCUAACUCUGUGCCAGCAGCCGCGGUAAGACAGAGGAUGCAAGCGUUAUCCGGAAUGAUUGGGCGUAAAGCGUCUGUAGGUUGUUUAAAAAGUAUUCUGUCAAAGAUUAGGGCUUAACCCUAGAUAGGCAGAAUAAACUUUUAAGCUAGAGUUUGGUAGAGGCAGAGGGAAUUCCCGGUGGAGCGGUGAAAUGCGUAGAUAUCGGGAGGAACACCAAAGGCGAAAGCACUCUGCUGGGCCAAUACUAACACUGAGAGACGAAAGCGAGGGGAGCAAAUGGGAUUAGAAACCCUGGUAGUCC
rnacentral:rRNA from 1 species